rnacentral:rRNA from 1 species
UACGUAGGGGGCAAGCGUUAUCCGGAUUUACUGGGUGUAAAGGGAGCGUAGACGGCAGCGCAAGUCUGGAGUGAAAUGCCGGGGCCCAACCCCGGAACUGCUUUGGAAACUGUGCGGCUCGAGUGCGGGAGAGGUAGGCGGAAUUCCUAGUGUAGCGGUGAAAUGCGUAGAUAUUAGGAGGAACACCAGUGGCGAAGGCGGCUUUCUGGACUGAAACUGACGCUGAGGCACGAAAGCGUGGGGAGCGAACAGG